rnacentral:rRNA from 1 species
UACAGAGGUCCCAAGCGUUGUUCGGAUUCACUGGGCGUAAAGGGUGCGCAGGUGGGCUGGUAAGUUCGAUGUGAAAGCCCCGGGCUUAACCCGGGAAAGGCAUUGGAUACUACUGGUCUGGAGGAUUGGAGGGGGGACUGGAAUUCUUGGUGUAGCAGUGAAAUGCGUAGAUAUCAAGAGGAACGCCAGUGGCGAAGGCGAGUCCCUGGACAAUACCUGACACUGAGGCACGAAAGCCAAGGGAGCAAACAGG